GGGUUGCUCCGGCAAGUCCCUCCGACGCUCAAGUCAGUUCUCUGCCUCAACAAGAAUGGAGUGCUCGAACGGAGAAUUUAGCAGAGUUUUUAGAUAAAGGAUGAGAGCUUAUAGAAUAACGUAUCUGGGGCCCCCCUUUUAUAGGCAGAGGGGUAGUAGCCUGAUAGCGAUAUCUGUAACCGUCUGGCAGUGGGCUGCCCAGGGUCAGGCGGAGUUUGUUGCGAAGAGUAGUGGAGUGGACCCGUGGCUAUCACCGGGGCGUGCCACGUGGAGUCUGCCAUGGGGAGUGGAGCGGCGUCCGUUGUCGUGACUUACCAGCGGAUGGGAGGAUCAUGCGAAAUCCACCGCAGGAAGUGGAGCAGAGCUGCGACCGUUACCGCGGCCUGUCAGGGAGUGAUGGAGCUGCGCGGAAUCCGCCGCAGGAAGUGGAGCAGGAUCGUGGCCGUUAUUGUGGCCUGCCAGGGAGUGAUGGAGCUGCGCGGGAUCCGCCGCAGGAAGUGGAGAAGGAUCGUGGCCGUUAUUGUGGCCUGCCAGGGAGCGCAGAUCCAUCGGCUGAAAAGUCUGUCUGCAGCCGCUGGAGUCGAGGAUGAAGCCCGGCUCCCGUAGGAGUCCGGGCGGAGUCUUCCUGCAAUUAAAGUUAAAGGCGAAGU
rnacentral:lncRNA from 1 species